rnacentral:lncRNA from 1 species
UGAACGCGAGCCAAAUCCAGGGGUGCGGUGGUCCUCACUACCCCGUCAGCUGAGAGUGUAGAGAGGGUGUAAGAAGAAACAAACCUCUGUUCUGCCCCAGGCUCACCUGGGCUGGCAAAAGCACCAGUGCAGCGGAUCCGCCCCGGGUCCCGCUGCACAUGAACGAAGAUUGAUCCGUCUACCACAAAGUUACCACAUCUGUACUGCAGCUGCAGCUCAUACUGGUUCACUGCAAGGGCAUCCAGCCGAGCAGAGCUA